GAAUCUUCAAAGCAAUGCAAUAACUCAACUCACUGGAAAAGUUUUCUCAGGGCUCGGAAAUCUACGAACGCUGUAUGUUGAAAACAAUGCACUAACUCAACUCACUGGAAACGCUUUCUCAGGGCUCGGAAAUCUACAAAGCCUUUAUCUCGAAAACAAUGCACUAACUCAACUCACUGGAAAUGUUUUCUCAGGGCUCGGAAAUAUAGAAACGCUUUAAGUUAAACUCA